rnacentral:rRNA from 1 species
AGAGAUGUGUGAUGACGCAUAUCAAUAAGCGGAGGAAAAGAAACUAACAAGGAUUCCCUUAGUAACGGCGAGUGAAGCGGGAAGAGCUCAAAUUUGAAAUCUUCAAGGUUCUACCUUGACGAAUUGUAGUUUAAAGAAGUGUUUUCUGUUAGUGGAGUGGCAAAAGUUCUUUGGAAUAGGACAUCAUAGAGGGUGAGAAUCCCGUAUUUGGUCAUUCCUUCUAGCUUUGUGAUACACUUUCAAAGAGUCGGAUUGUUUGGGGAUGCAGUCCAAAAUGGGUGGUAAAUUUCAUCUAAAGCUAAAUAUUGGCGAGAGACCGAUAGCGAACAAGUACCGUGAGGGAAAGAUGAAAAGAACUUUGAAAAGAGAGUUAAACAGUACGUGAAAUUGUCAAAAGGGAAGCGUUUGACACCAGUGUUGUUUUUCCGAAAAUCAAUUACGAAUGUUUUGUUUUUAAGAAGUUAUGACUUCAUCGGCUUGCUUCUUUCUUUACGAAACUUUCUUAAUGCACUUUUCGGUUAACAAGUCAAUAUCAAUUUCUUUUGUUGUAAAAGGGUAUGAGGAAGGUGGCUUUCUUUUCGGAGAAAGUGUUUAUAGCCUUGUACCUCUGCAAUCGGAGAGAUUGAGGUCUGCAGCGUAGAUCCUUCGGGGUUAGAUACAUUUGUGCUAAGUUAUAGCUUUUCAUAGACAACUUGUUGACUAUGUUAGUCUUGUAGCUUACUCGCUUAUGCUAUUUUACCUACGCUUAGGAUGUUGACAGCAGUAUAGACUGU